CGCUCCGCGGCGGGUGUGCUCGGCGGUCACAGACCCACUCAGGACACCUCCCGUUGCCGGCGGGCUAGACCUCCCUUAAAGGGGUCCCCGUGUCUCUCCAGUCUACAGCCUAAGUUCAAACGAGGCGUAUAGGCGAGGACAGCAGGAAGGCUCCAAGUCAAACAGAAAUGGAUGCCCACAGGGAAGUGGUCUUGGGAAACCUGAAGACAGUGGGAUAUUCAGAAGGCCAAGGGGAUCCAGCUUAUCCUGUUGGGCAAGGUGCUGGGAGUGAAGGCAAGUCACCUGAAUGAUACUGGUGCCAUUUCUGAAGUUGGUGAAACUCCGCAUUACAUCCUGACUCAGAGAUUCCACUGAUGAUUUCCAGGAACUACCGAAGCCACGGAUCAGCUGAGUUACCCGGGCUAAUAGCAGGAGGAAACAGUGUCAGAGAGGGAUCUGGCUGAUCUUCAUCUCCACUAAGUUCUCCCCAAGGUAUAGCCAUCCUUACCAUCAAACCCUCUUUUCUGGUAUUCUCUCAAUCCAGUCUUUCAUACUCUAUUCCCCCACCAUGUAAUCUGCAUCCUUUCAUUUUUCUUUUCCACUUCCCUUACCACUGAUCCCAUCAUUGCCAUAUUUUCCUCAUACCUUCUUCCCCUCGAAGUCGCUCAGCCUGUCCACGCUCAAUCAAAGCCUCAGCCUCCUUCACAAAUGCCACUAAACCCCCA
rnacentral:antisense_RNA from 1 species